rnacentral:rRNA from 1 species
UACGUAGGGGGCAAGCGUUGUCCGGAAUCAUUGGGCGUAAAGAGCGCGUAGGCGGCCCAGUAAGUCCGCUCUGAAAGUCAGGGGCUCAACCCCUGGAUGCGGGUGGAUACUGCUGGGCUAGAGUCCGGAAGAGGCGAGUGGAAUUCCUGGUGUAGCGGUGAAAUGCGCAGAUAUCAGGAGGAACACCGAUGGCGAAGGCAGCUCGCUGGGACGGUACUGACGCUGAGACGCGAAAGCGUGGGUAGCAAACAGG